rnacentral:rRNA from 1 species
UACGUAGGGGGCUAGCGUUGUCCGGAAUCAUUGGGCGUAAAGGGCGCGUAGGUGGCGGGACAAGCGUGCGGUGAAAGCCUGGGGCUCAACCCCGGGUCGGCCGUGCGAACUGUUUUGCUUGAGCACUGUAGAGGCAGGCGGAAUUCCGGGUGUAGCGGUGGAAUGCGUAGAGAUCCGGAAGAACACCGGUGGCGAAGGUGGCCUGCUGGGCAGUAGCUGACACUGAGGCGCGACAGCGUGGGGAGCAAACAGG